rnacentral:rRNA from 1 species
CGUAGGGUGCGAGCGUUAAUCGGAAUUACUGGGCGUAAAGCGUGCGCAGGCGGUUCGUUAAGUUCGUUGUGAAAGCCCCGGGCUCAACCUGGGAGGUGCAAUGGAAACUGGCGGGCUCGAGUGCGGCAGAGGGGGGUGGAACUCCACGUGUAGCAGUGAAAUGCGUAGAGAUGUGGAGGAACACCGAUGGCGAAGGCAACCCCCUGGGCUGACACUGACGCUCAGGCACGAAAGCGUGGGGAGCAAACAGGAUUAGAUACCCUGGUAGUCCACGCCCUAAACGAUGAGCACUGGGUGUUGGGGAAGCGAUUCCCUAGUACCGCAGCUAACGCGUGAAGUGCUCCGCCUGGGGAGUACGGCCGCAAGGUUA